rnacentral:tRNA from 1 species
GCCUUCGUGGUGUAGUGGUUAACACGCUCGACGAGUAACCGAGAGGUCCGUGGUUCGAUUCCCGGCGAGCGCA